GAUGAACGCUGGCGGCGUGCUUAACACAUGCAAGUCGAACGGAAAGGCUCCUGCUUGCAGGGGUACUCGAGUGGCGAACGGGUGAGUAACACGUGGGUGAUCUGCCCUGCACUUCGGGAUAAGCCUGGGAAACUGGGUCUAAUACCGGAUAGGACGAUGGUUUGGAUGCCAUUGUGGAAAGUUUUUCGGUGUGGGAUGAGCUCGCGGCCUAUCAGCUUGUUGGUGGGGUAAUGGCCUACCAAGGCGUCGACGGGUAGCCGGCCUGAGAGGGUGUACGGCCACAUUGGCACUGGGGUGCGGCCCAGACUCCUACGGGCGGCAGCAGUGGGGAAUAUUGCACAAUGGGCGCAAGCCUGAUGCAGCGACGCCGCGUGGGGGAUGACGGCCUUCGGGUUGUAAACUCCUUUCGCAAGGGACGAAGCGCAAGUGACGGUACCUGGAGAAGAAGCACCGGCUAACUACGU
rnacentral:rRNA from 1 species